rnacentral:rRNA from 1 species
GACGAACGCUAGCGGCGUGCUUAGCACAUGCAAGUCGAACGGUGAUGCGGAGCUUGCUCCGCGGAUCAGUGGCGAACGGGUGAGUAACACGUGAGUAACCUGCCCUGGACUCUGGGAUAAGCGUUGGAAACGACGUCUAAUACCGGAUAUGACUUCGGAACGCAUGUUCUGGAGUGGAAAGAAUUUCGGUCUGGGAUGGACUCGCGGCCUAUCAGCUUGUUGGUGGGGUGAUGGCCUACCAAGGCGACGACGGGUAGCCGGCCUGAGAGGGUGACCGGCCACACUGGGACUGAGACACGGCCCAGACUCCUACGGGAGGCAGCAGUGGGGAAUAUUGCACAAUGGGCGCAAGCCUGAUGCAGCAACGCCGCGUGAGGGAUGACGGCCUUCGGGUUGUAAACCUCUUUUGGCAGGGAAGAAGCGAAAGUGACGGUACCUGCAGAAAAAGCACCGGCUAACUACGUGCCAGCCGCCGCAGUAAUAC